UCACCAGCAGUACCCCUUUAUGUAUACACUAAAGCCGCUACUGAGUGAGGUGCCAUUUCAGAGAUAUUCUAGAAGAGCUUCUAAUCGUACUGUUUUUAAAUAUCAGGUGUAUUAUGGUGAAUGUUGACAAACAAAUACCUUGGUAGAUUUUAUUAAAAUUUUUUUGAGAACAAUUGCUUUUUGAAGAAAUUAACAACCUACUCUUGAUGCCUUGAAUUAAUUACAUAAUGAAGUUUUAUUACAUCUACAUUUUAACAACCGUUUCUUAUACUAUGCUCUCUUGCUUGAAUUAUUUAACACGUACUUACACGAUAAUACUCAUUUUGUGUUUCUUUUGUAUUUGUCAUUUAUUUUUCUUUCUACGAAGUCCGAUUGUGAUAUUUUCAUGAACUUUAAUACAUAAUACAUUUUUUACAGACGUCAAGUAGAGACCAUAACCAAACUUUCGCUUAUGCCAGUAGUACCAUUAUAUUACCUUAGUGUUUAUUUUUAAUUUCGGGAAUAUUUUUUAUUACUUUAUUCCUCUUAACAAUACUUUCGUAGUUUAGGUAAAUAUUGAUAUUGCGUGAACAGAUUUUUGUACUAAUACUAAAAAUAUUUUAUUAAUUUGAUGAGUGGGAAGGUAACCGUCCAAGAAUAAGAAAAUACUCGUGAAUUUGUUUUUAUGGUAACAAAUAAUAUUUAGACAAUUAAAUGAAUUUUAGAAGAAUGUCCAAUGUUACAAAAAUUAUCUUUUGAAGGAUAUUAAGCUGUUUUAACACUUUUUUAUAUUAUUUUUAUACUAAACUUUUGUAGGGUUUCACUAAUUAUAAAAAUAACUAUCUUAACCGUUAAAAAUUAUUAGUCACGUCAUAAGUAGCGACAUGUCAACUGCCACCAGUACCAUCUGUCACUGAUUUUAAUAGAAUCACUGACACCUUCUCUAUCAUAUAUUCUAUGAUCGCAAUUAUGAUCACGUGCGAUACGAUCUAACUUGUAAGAUGCCAUUUUUAAGUAAACUAGGAAGCGUCAUCUUGUGUGUCUACUGUCACCUGUACUCCCUGUCACACAUCAAUGCUUUCAAUAGAAUCUUUGACAUCCAUUUAAAUUUGUUUAUUUGAUAUCUAUAUAAACCCGGUUUUUAUAUUGAUAACUAUAAAGUAUCAAUGUUACUUAUUUGUUAUAUAUAUCUGAAAAUUUCUAUUUUAGAGCCGGUCUCAAAUAGUUUUUUUUUGGUAUUGCUUAUCAAUUUCAAAAUUUUCAUGUUAUAAAGUUGCCUACAUCACUUGUAUAAAAUUGUCUUCCUAUUUAUUAAAAUUAAUUUAGUGAGUAUCAUUGGACAUGAUUCAAAAAGUAUUAAGGCAAUAAAAUUAACUUUAAUGAUAUUAAAACAGGAAUCUCUUCCACUUUUAGUUUUUAUAAAAUUAAGUGUAGUAUUCAAUAUAUUUUUAUUAGUUACAACAACUCACAAAAAAUGCCACAUACUUUUAUUUUAAAUACAAAAAACAAAAUUUUCAUCAGUUUUCUUAUGUAUAUAUAAUAAGUUCCAUUCUAAAUCUUCUAAUAACAUAAAUAAUUUCAACAGUUUCAAUAUUUUUAAAUGGAACUCAAAAUUACUAAACUUUGUCAUAAUUGUGACUUAUGUGUGUAUUUUUCUGUCUACCAACUAGAAAGUUAGAAGAGUAUAUUUACAUUAGUCAGGAAUUGUAUAUUUACUUUUGAUAAAAAAUUCUGUUAUAUAUUGAUAUAAUUUUUGUUAUCACUAAUAUGAAAAAUAGUUAGAAUUGCACAAUAUUGGUUGAUUAAUCGAGAAGAACAUUAGGUAGUGAAGUGACAGAAAAAAUACAAAACAAGUUCAAAAUACUCAUUUUUAUUAACUUCCUUGUCUUUAUAUAUUUUUUAAUAUAAAUAAAACGUUUUUUGAGAGUCGUUCAUAACUGGAGUAUUAACCACGAGUGAUAUUUCUUUUUUUAUCAGUUUUGUCUUUAUUAUAAAUUUAUUAUAGAUUUUAGGGUAUUAAGCUUUAUAAAUAAAUCGGAAACCAGUAUUUUACAUUUUAUUUAUAAAUUAUUUUAGUGAAAGCCUAAAGCGGCAGCUGUGGUGACAGUUAAUUGUUUGUAGAGUUUGAAAUAUCAAAAAAAAAGUUUAUUACCAUCAAAGCAUUUACAUUUAAAAAUGUCAUUAUAUUGCUGUAAUAUAUUUUUCCAUGAUGACUUUCUGUUGAAGGAGAGUGUGAUAAUUAAACUUCAGUGGUAACAUUAAGACAAUCCAACUAUGAGAUCUUGAGUAAUUUCUGAAAUGACUAUAAGGAAACUAAUAUAAACAGAAAUGUUUAUCACGUUUUUCGCUGAUUUCAAUAAACAACGAGCCAAGUCGACAAACUCGUACAUAAGAAAACCAGAAAUUAUUAAAUAACUAAUUAGAUAAUAUUUACUACUAGUGCCAACAGAUGGAGAUGAUUUAUAUGUAAAUAACAUCAUUAUCAUUACCACUAGGUUAUUUACACAAUAAUUAGAAAGUCGAAAAAAUGGUAUAAGUAUUUAAAAUUACAGCAUGGUAUUGAAGUGUCUUCCGGAAAGUUUUAUUUAUAUAAUUCAAAUGUAAAUGCGAUUGAUUGUAUUUAUUCACAAAACUUUUAUUUUUUACUAAUAGAAAGGGCAGUACAUUUUUAAAGAUAUUAAUAAUUUGAUAUUCGAAUUUUGUAACCUCUUUUUAUUUCCAGAGCUAUUUUUAAUAUAGGCUAAAUAGUCGAACAAACUAAUAGAUAUUUUUUCGCAAUUUGUUUAUAAUAUAAAACUUAUAACUUUGACAUUAUUUGAGUAUUAUUGCAGAAUAAUUAAUUAUACAUUUUUUACUAUAUUUUUAUCAAACAAGAAUGUAAUAAAAAGGUCAAUAGAACAUUUAAAUGCCAUUAGAACAUUUAAAUGCCAUUAGAACUAAUAAACAAUGUAUUUUUUAUAUCCACCUCUACAGUAUUGCUCCACUGUCAAGUGGGCAAAUAUAUGUUAGAAACUUUUGAUCACUAUUUCUUUGUUCUUUUUCUUUCACUCAUUGAUCUGUUUUGUAUUUUGUUCGAGUAAAAUUUUACUUAAAAAAUUACUUGCAUUGCAUAAACUACUCUGAAGAGCUUCUCAUUGAUGGUAUAUCUGCUUACCAGACGUUAAGCCAACCGGGUUCCACACAAUUCGUCCAAUACUUCCAAUGUUAGACGCAUCGUGUGUUCAUAGUCAUUCGACGACUGUUUUACUUCCAACGUUGCCCAACCACACACACUUUUUGUUCUUUUGUGCAUGAAUGCUGAGUGUGUUUUCUAUGAAAAAUCAAAGUUGCCAGUAUCAUCCAGUUUGUUUUGAAAGAAUUUAUAUUUGUUGUAUUUGCAUCACUUAUUUCCAAGUAAUUUGGUGAACAAUCGAGUUUAUGUAAACGCGUCACCAAUAACGGCAACUCGCACACUGCAUUUUUUUUCACGCAUGUCUGCAGCGCUAGGUCCAAUGUUCAGCCAACGUUGGAAGGUGAAUGUUGGUGCAAACGUUGGUUAUAUGGUGUAGUUGCAGCACUGAAUCCAGCCUUCCUUCCAAUAUUCAGUCGUACGUUGGAAGGUGAAUGUUGGAGCAAACGUUGAAUGCAUCGUGCAGUACCGGCUUAAUCGUUUUGGUGUAAGUCUAGACCAAUCUUCUAUACGCAUUCCAUAAAUAUAUAACCAAUUAUGAAUUAUAGACGGUGCUACUCAUCAUUAAUUCAAAGUGAAUCCUUACUCAAUCACUAUCUGUUGGAUUCUAAUGUACAUUGUCGUUUUUUAUUAGCACUGGAAAAACAGAAACAACACAUACAGAACAUUGCAUACAAAUUUUCACUAACACAUUCCCGCCAUACUCUGGUUGCCUGGUGUGGAAUCAAGCGGAGCAAUUUAUUUUAGUAUAAUUUAUUGCGACGUUCUAGUAGAUGAGAAGUUAGUUGGUUAAUGAUUUCAAAUUGAACUUCUUAUGUUGUGCAAAAUAUUUUCCAAUACUUUUAAAAAAUAAAAUACAUUACAUUAGACUAGACUGUUAUUAAUGGUAAAAAUUACUACUUGGGUACAGAUUUUCAAAUAUUUAAAUCUUUGAAUAUUUUCAUUUUUAUAAAUUUUAUUCUUCAAUGUUCUAUUGAUCUUGAUAUAUCUUCAGUUAUUAUAUAACGUUCUAUUUUAUAUAUACUUUCUCAUCAUCUACCAAUUUUCUUUGUCUUGUUCAAUGGUACAGAUAACAGAAUAUUGCUCAUUUUUUAUAAAAUAAAAUGCAAUUGUUGUUUACAGUUUAGGUAGGUAAAUAAUAUGUAGUUUAUUAUUUUAGAGCCUUAGAUGAUUUUUCUACAUAUAGAAAGUAUUACUGAGAAUUAUUUGACAUUUUGGUUUUUCUUUAUAUGUUUUUAUAAACUUUUUUAAAUAAUCAGUGUUUCGUUUUCAUGUUGUUAAUAUUUUACAUGUUUUUCAUUAUAAACGUUAUACUGAAGCUAGUGGUUGUGAUAAAUUUUUAUAAAAAAGUUUGUAGUGAAGUUUGAAUAUAUUUUAUGCAAUAAAUAUAUUUGUGGUAGAUUGAUUACUGUUCUCUACUUUGCAAUAACUAAUUUUGAUCAUUUAAUUGGUAGUGUAAAAGCAUUAAUAAAAAUACAGUUGUACAUAAUGCAAGAAUUAUAAAUCGAAUUUUAUAUUCUCUUUAUACUCUCUAUAAAUAAAAAAUGAAACUCUGAAUUAUUAGGAAACUAUUGUUAAAAAUUUUACAUAUUUAAAAAUACAUUGAGACAUGAUUUUUACAUCCAAAUCCAUCUAAAGUUUUCAAACGUAAAUAAAUUUUAAGCAUAUCUAUUUAAAUUGCGUGAGCUAUCAAUCAGUGUAAAAUUAGUAUCUUGACAGUAAAAUUUAAAAAGCUAUAACAGCAAAAUUGAAUCGAUAUUUUUUUAUUUUUCUGAUAACAUCUCACUAACAUUUUUCGUUUCAUAAAUUCUAUUUGCACUAGCGUCGUUUUAAUAUUAAUCUUGGUGCUUAUUUUUUAUUGUAAUUGACAUUUUAUUUUUAUUAUUCUGUGAAGGUCUGCCAUUAUCAUGCUUUGAGUAUUAUUCAUUAAACAGAUCUAAUGUGUUUUGUUGUUGAAUUUGAAAUCAUAAUUCACUUGAUAUAUACCAAUGUAAAUAGAACACAUUUCACAUACAAAUGUGAGUAUGUAUGAAACUUUUAGACUUUAUUUUCAGUAUUAUUUCUGUACUUUCUACAUAUCGAUAUCUUAGAACAUAAAUUUGUUGUUUAAUAAAUAAAUCAAAACCAGGUUCCAGAACGAGUGUGAUAUUUUUACAAAGUUUACUUAAUAUCAAAAGACAUUUAGCUUUCUUCACAAGAAUUAAGCAUGUAUCAAAACUUAACAUCGAGUUUUCCAAAAGUAGCCCGAAACAGACAUAGUUCAUUUGUGUUCUAAGUUAUUGAUUUGCAAAAAUUUGAGUUGAUCGUAUUUAAAUUUAAACAAUUAAACCAAUUUGUAAUCCAUCUACCAGAUUAAUUUAGGAAGCAUUUCAAUUGGAAAUUGUUUUUUAUUAUUUUCGAAAAAGAUAUGACACAAAAUCAAAUAAGAUAUUGAGGGACUAUAAAAUUGUUAGAAAAUUACAUCACACUUUGUACAAAAAGAACCUAUCAAAUUACUUUAUUAGUAAAAUAUUUAGUUUCCAUCAUCAUCAUUCGUAAAUCUAGUUCGAAAAAAUCAGGUUUAUAUGGAACACAACUUGAAAUAAUAUCAAGUUUUUUCGUAUUAGGAAUGUGUCAAAAUUGAACAACGCUCAUUAUCUAACUGACAAAGACAUCGUUCCAAAUUAGAUUUCUUUGUUGAUUUGUAGAUUGUUUGGAAGUCGUUCUGUGGGUUGCUAUGUCUCACUUCCCAAGGUGUUGAACUAAUCCUUCGAGCUACCUAAUUCUAUUGCAGAAAUUACGGAAAAUUUUUGUUGACUCAUUGUUGGAUUGUUAAUAUCUAAAUUGACAAAAAUCCGUGAAUAUUUAAUUCUUUUUCUAGGAAUGUCACACUUCAUGUAGUACUGAUACUGAGUUAUUGAAUAAAAGACGAAUUAAUGAACUUACAGGUAUAAAAAAUUUGUAAAUGUUCCCAUUAACAAGGUAAUUGUGAGUAAAAAAAAUGGUUUCCAUAUUCAAAUGCUGAAAGCUUGUCUUUAUAUUUUUACUUAAGGUUUGUUUAUAAUAAAACCAGCAAUAAUUGAUAAUCUUUAAGUAUAAAUUUAUUGUAAAAAUCUUCGAAAUUUUGAGUGUCUUAACUUAUUGGUAUUGGAUAUGUUUAACUGGCUCUACAAGUGUAAGGAUGUAUUUUUUUACAAAUAAACAUGGCUGCUAUUA